ACGAACGCUGGCGGCAGGCCUAACACAUGCAAGUCGAGCGCCCUGCAAGGGGAGCGGCGGACGGGUGAGUAACGCGUGGGAAUUUUUCCUGGAGUACGGAACAACCGAGGGAAACUUCGGCUAAUACCGUAUGAUGCCGAGAGGCCAAAGAUUUAUCGCUCUGGGGUGAGCCCGCGUCAGAUUAGGUAGUUGGUGGGGUAAAGGCCUACCAAGCCUGCGAUCUGUAGCUGGUCUGAGAGGACGAUCAGCCACACUGGGACUGAGACACGGCCCAGACUCCUACGGGAGGCAGCAGUGGGGAAUCUUGCGCAAUGGGCGAAAGCCUGACGCAGCCAUGCCGCGUGAGUGAAGAAGGUCUUAGGAUUGUAAAGCUCUUUCGCCCGUGACGAUGAUGACGGUAACGGGAGAAGAAGCCCCGGCUAACUUCGU
rnacentral:rRNA from 1 species